GGGCGCAAGCCUGAUCCAGCAAUGCCGCGUGCAGGAUGAAGGCCUUCGGGUUGUAAACUGCUUUUGUACGGAACGAAAAGCCCUGGGUUAAUACCCUGGGGUCAUGACGGUACCGUAAGAAUAAGCACCGGCUAACUACGUGCCAGCAGCCGCGGUAAUACGUAGGGUGCAAGCGUUAAUCGGAAUUACUGGGCGUAAAGCGUGCGCAGGCGGUUUUGUAAGACAGAGGUGAAAUCCCCGGGCUCAACCUGGGAACUGCCUUUGUGACUGCAAGGCUAGAGUACGGCAGAGGGGGAUGGAAUUCCGCGUGUAGCAGUGAAAUGCGUAGAUAUGCGGAGGAACACCGAUGGCGAAGGCAAUCCCCUGGGCCUGUACUGACGCUCAUGCACGAAAGCGUGGGGAGCAAACAGGAUUAGAUACCCUGGUAGUCCACGCCCUAAACGAUGUCAACUGGUUGUUGGGUCUUAACUGACUCAGUAACGAAGCUAACGCGUGAAGUUGACCGCCUGG
rnacentral:rRNA from 1 species